rnacentral:rRNA from 1 species
CGUAUGGUGCAAGCGUUAUCCGGAUUUACUGGGUGUAAAGGGAGCGUAGACGGCUGUGUAAGUCUGAAGUGAAAGCCCGGGGCUCAACCCCGGGACUGCUUUGGAAACUAUGCAGCUAGAGUGUCGGAGAGGUAAGUGGAAUUCCCAGUGUAGCGGUGAAAUGCGUAGAUAUUGGGAGGAACACCAGUGGCGAAGGCGGCUUACUGGACGAUGACUGACGUUGAGGCUCGAAAGCGUGGGGAGCAA